rnacentral:lncRNA from 1 species
CAUUGCAUUGCACUGUAUUGUAGUGUAGUGUGCUGUACUGUACUGGACCGUACAGUACUGUACUCAAAUUUAUUGUAUUGUAUUGUUAUGAUGAGACUUUACUAUAACCUUGAUUACAACCGUUAAUUAUCUUAUACUGAAAUGCAUUGCAAUAAACGUUAGCAUGAAGAAAUUUCACAUUCUUCUUUAAUUUACACCCGAUGUGCAUUUAAAAACAUCUGAAAGUCAUAGCACAUAAUGCAUAGAUCAAAUUUUCUCAUCAAUGUUCAAAAUAAAUUAAUGCAUAUAUCAAGUAAUUGAAUCUGCAUAAAGUAGCAUUUAAUUUCUAACCUUGGACUUUCUUUCGAAAAACUUUUUUUUCUGUGAUAGAGAGCCAAAGAGUCACUAAUUAGUACUAAUCUUGCUUUUAAUUGAAUGUCGAUAAAUUCAUUAUGAAAUACGUUUUUUUUUAGUAUUGAUACAAUCCUAUAAAUAGGUGUAUUGCAAUAAUAGUGCCAGUGCGUUGUCAAAAUGUCAGAAUGUAUUUUAUUGCUUUUUUCAGUAAAUUAAACUAAAUUUUAAAUAAAAUUUUUCUAUAAACAUUUUUCUGAAAUAUUUUGUCUCGUUUUUAUAUUUUGUCCUCUAUUUAUAAAAAGUGGCAUUUGUUACAUAAAGUAACUCCCAUUUUUUGUCAUUAAUUAAUAUUUUGUUCCCCACUCAGUUUUACCACGCCCUCUAGGAGAUGUUCCAAAGAGGUCGAGUCUCCCUGUGCUACAUAAUAUAAUAUGUAACUAAUGUCUAAGUACUUAACUUAAAACUUAUGUAUACUUAAUAAAUAACUGGAAAUUAUGACUAAUACAAUUUUGAAAAAAAAAAUAUUCAGCUUAAAUUUAACGUUAUACGUGAGUGUAUGGGUUCCCCAAACAAAAUGGUUACUUUAUAAGGAGAAUGCAGUAAGUGUAAUUACAACUAAGAAUAGAAUGAACCAAAACAUGAUCUUUCAACUUAAUAUUAACAACACCUAUAAAGAGAUCAUUACAGCAAAGGUUAAAAUGAAUCAUUACAAUACAUCAUGAUUCGUGUAAAAUUCUUCUCUGUUUACAAAUCAUAUAAAUCUUCAAAAACUUAAUAAUGUUUAAAAGUCUUAAAAAUGUUAAAAUAUUUAUAGUUUUGGUUUCCUAUAGGAAGAAGAGUUAUGGAAAUAAUCGAUUGAGUCAGUAAUUGACUCUUGAUACAUCACCUAAAUCUCAUCCAGAUAACAGCAAGUGUGAAACAGAGAUUCUAUGGGUGAAUGAAUUCGUUCUUCUCUUAAUUUACUAACAACGGCACAACAGAUAAUAACAAUGGCUAAGCAGAUCUCAACAAUGACACAACAAAGAACUACAAAAUAUUCUGUAUAACACGAUAUUUAAAUGAUUCAACAAAGUAACUGAAUGGAUUACGCCUCUCUAAUAGGUUCAAUCCUAAAAAUGGUAGACGAUUCAACAUGUAUAUAAAGAUUCUAAUAAUACAGGUUAGAUAAAACUAACGAGGAUAAAACCUGUUCUGUUGGUGCAGUAAAGAAAGAAGAAAAAGUAAUUAGAUUUUACUCCAUCAGGUCCUCUGGAAAAAGAAUGGUGUUCUAUUACACUAAAUUUCUAGAACAACAAAAAGUACCAAAAAGAAUGUUCAAGUUAUAAGAUUAUAUCUGUUUUAACUGAAAAAAUACAAAAAAAUAGUGUUUUUUCUAAUAGAAAAAUAAAUAAAUGUGU